AUCCGUCCUACCGAGUUCAGCGCCAGAUACCUCAGAACCAACUAACAGCGGGUGAGUUUUUCUUUUUCUUUUUCUUUUUCUUUUUGUAGCAAAUUUUUACAACUCUUUUGGUUUAAAUGACUUUGUGAGGGUCACCUAUACCGGAUUUGCCUUUUUGCUUUCUUUUAUUUAUUUCACUGGAUCAUUCACUUAUGUUCAUCGGUCCCCUGCGUAGAGGAUGCGUAGGCCGGAGCUGACUGUUGGGAUAAACUACUGAGGACUUAUACUGAAAUGAUGAUUAAGGCCAUGGUAUAUGGGGUUUCGUGAAUGAUUCCUAUAUUCAUGAAGUCUAUGGUGCUAAAACAAUAUUGAUGUUUCAAAAAGUUCUCCCAAGUCACCGCAUCCUUACUCAAACCCGUCUUUAAAACCCAAAAACAUUCAGAAUAACACCGUUUUCUUUUGCAAAUUUUUUU
rnacentral:lncRNA from 1 species